CCUACGGGAGACAGCAGUAGGGAAUAUUGCUCAAUGGGGGAAACCCUGAAGCAGCAACGCCGCGUGGAGGAUGAAGGUUUUCGGAUUGUAAACUCCUUUUGUUAGAGAAGAUAAUGACGGUAUCUAACGAAUAAGCACCGGCUAACUCCGUGCCAGCAGCCGCGGUAAUACGGAGGGUGCAAGCGUUACUCGGAAUCACUGGGCGUAAGGAGCGCGUAGGCGGGAUAGCAAGUCAGAUGUGAAAUCCUAUGGCUUAACCAUAGAACUGCAUUUGAAACUGUUAUUCUAGAGUAUGGGAGAGGUAGGUGGAAUUCUUGGUGUAGGGGUAAAAUCCGUAGAGAUCAAGAGGAAUACUCAUUGCGAAGGCGACCUGCUAGAACAUAACUGACGCUGAUGCGCGAAAGCGUGGGGAGCAAACAGGAUUAGAGACCCGGGUAGUC
rnacentral:rRNA from 1 species